AUUGAACGCUGGCGGCAUGCUUUACACAUGCAAGUCGAACGGCAGCACGAAAUAGCUUGCUCUUUUGGUGGCGAGUGGCGAACGGGUGUGUAAUGCAUCGGAACGUACCGAGUAAUGGGGGAUAACUGUCCGAAAGGAUAGCUAAUACCGCAUACGCUUUGAGACGGAAAGUGGGGGCUCUUCGGACCUCACGUUAUUCGAGCGGCCGAUGUCUGAUUAGCUAGUUGGUGGGGUAAAGGCCUACCAAGGCGACGAUCAGUAGCGGGUCUGAGAGGAUGAUCGGCCACACUGGGACUGAGAAACGGCCCAGACUCCUACGGGAGGCAGCAGUGGGGAAUUUUGGACAAUGGGCGCAAGCCUGAUCCAGCCAUGCCGCGUGUCUGAAGAAGGCCUUCGGGUUGUAAAGGACUUUUGUUAGGGAAGAAAAGGAUAGUGUUAAUACCAUUAUCUGCUGACGGUACCUAAAGAAUAAGCACCGGCUAACUACGUG
rnacentral:rRNA from 1 species